ACGGGUGAGUAACACGUGGGCAACCUGCCCCUCACUCUGGGAUAACACCGGGAAACCGGUGCUAAUACCGGAUACGACCAGGCGCGACAUCUCGCCUGGUGGAAAGAACUUCGGUGAGGGAUGGGCCCGCGGCCUAUCAGCUUGUUGGUGAGGUAAUGGCUCACCAAGGCGACGACGGGUAGCCGGCCUGAGAGGGCGACCGGCCACACUGGGACUGAGACACGGCCCAGACUCCUACGGGAGGCAGCAGUGGGGAAUAUUGCGCAAUGGGCGAAAGCCUGACGCAGCGACGCAGCGUGAGGGACGAAGGCCUUCGGGUUGUAAACCUCUUUCAGCGGGGACGAAGCGAAAGUGACGGUACCCGCAGAAGAAGCACCGGCUAACUACGUGCCAGCAGCCGCGGUAAUACGUAGGGUGCGAGCGUUAAUCGGAAUUACUGGGCGUAAAGCGUGCGCAGGCGGUGAUGUAAGACAGAUGUGAAAUCCCCGGGCUCAACCUGGGAACUGCAUUUGUGACUGCAUCGCUGGAGUGCGGCAGAGGGGGAUGGAAUUCCGCGUGUAGCAGUGAAAUGCGUAGA
rnacentral:rRNA from 1 species